rnacentral:rRNA from 1 species
UGAGGAAUAUUGGUCAAUGGGGGCAACCCUGAACCAGCCAAGUCGCGUGAAGGAUGAAGGUCUUAUGGAUUGUAAACUUCUUUUAUACAGGAAUAAAUUGGGGGACGUGUCCCCUUUUGCAUGUACUGUAUGAAUAAGGAUCGGCUAACUCCGUGCCAGCAGCCGCGGUAAUACGGAGGAUCCGAGCGUUAUCCGGAUUUAUCGGGUUUAAAGGGUGCGCAGGCGGGAUGUUAAGCCGGCGGUGAAAUUUUGCAGCUCAACUGUAAAAGUGCAUUCGAUACUGGCUGCCUUGAGUGUAGAUGAAGUAGGCGGAAUUUGUGGUGUAGCGGUGAAAUGCUUAGAUAUCACGAGGAACUCCGAUUGCGCAGGCAGCUUACUAAACUACAACUGACGCUCAUGCACGAAGGCGUGGGGAUCAAACA